CUCUCAGUAAAAACAAUGUUUUCCAAAGUCAUGCACAGCUCUAAAUCCUGACGCCUUUCUUCAUCUUAUUUCUACUCCUCACAGCUGAGGAGCACUCCUGCUGAUGAGUUCAGUCUCUCCAUCAUCUCAGGUCUCACUGUGCAAGGAGAACCUGAACUUGAGAUCCUGUGUACGACUAAAUGGAUGCUACUGAUUGAGACCUGACUUCACCACCACCUUGGCUGCCAUCUUCACAUCUUGCUAUACGUUCACAGUUGAAUAUCAGGAGGAAACAAUGACAUCACUGGAGUCUGUUCAAAAGUAGCUGUCAUCCAGUUUGCUGAAGAACAUGAAGCAGCAGUGGAGGAUCAAAGUGAAAUCACCCGGCGGCUUCUGACCUGCAUCCAAAGCCUUUUGGCCCAGUGGACUUGUGAUGCAAAGUGGACUGAUGUGGGCUGUUGGACUCUUUACAGAUAAAUAUGCAUCCACAAACAUCAUUUUAAAGACUCUAUGGACACCUGAGUACCUGGUGACAUCUCCCACAAUUGAAUAUCCAUGUUUAGAUUACCUGAGAGUGUUUUGUUUUAAGGAAAUAACAGUGUCUAGUGUCAGUGUCUAUAUUACAUAUAUAUCAAGUUCAGUGAUUUGAUUUUGUUUUGUUUUUUUAACUUGUAGUGGGCUCAUUAACUGGCAUUAGCAUUAUUUUUUC